rnacentral:hammerhead_ribozyme from 1 species
AUCCAGAUGACGAGUCCUAAAUAGGACGAAACGGGCCUUGUCCUGGAU